GAUGAACGCUGGCGGCGUGCCUAAUACAUGCAAGUCGAGCGAACGGACGAGAAGCUUGCUUUUCUGAUGUUAGCGGCGGACGGGUGAGUAACACGUGGAUAACCUACCUAUAAGACUGGGAUAACUUCGGGAAACCGGAGCUAAUACCGGAUAAUAUUUUGAACCGCAUGGUUCAAAAGUGAAAGACGGUCUUGCUGUCACUUAUAGAUGGAUCCGCUCUGCAUUAGCUAGUUGGUAAGGUAACGGCUUACCAAGGCAACGAUGCAUAGCCGACCUGAGAGGGUGAUCGGCCACACUGGAACUGAGACACGGUCCAGACGCCUACGGGAGGCAGCAGUAGGGAAUCUUCCGCAAUGGGCGAAAGCCUGACGGAGCAACGCCGCGUGAGUGAUGAAGGUCUUCGGAUCGUAAAACUCUGUUAUUAGGGAAGAACAUAUGUGUAAGUAACUGUGCACAUCUUGACGGUACCUAAUCAGAAAGCCACGGCUAACUACGU
rnacentral:rRNA from 1 species